rnacentral:rRNA from 1 species
UGUGACCUCGGAUCAGGUAGGAAUACCCGCUGAACUUAAGCAUAUCAAUAAGCGGGAGAG